rnacentral:rRNA from 1 species
UACGUAGGGUGCAAGCGUUAAUCGGAAUUACUGGGCGUAAAGCGUGCGCAGGCGGUUGUGCAAGGCAGAUGUGAAAUCCCCGGGCUCAACCUGGGAACUGCAUUUGUGACUGCACGGCUGGAGUGCGGCAGAGGGGGAUGGAAUUCCGCGUGUAGCAGUGAAAUGCGUAGAUAUGUGGAGGAACACCGAUGGCGAAGGCAGCCCCCUGGGUCAAGACUGACGCUCAUGCACGAAAGCGUGGGGAGCAAACAGG